UAUCGUCUUCCUCCUCUCAUCUGUUCGAGCCUUCCACAACGCACCCCGGGCGAAGCCAUGAACCACCGCGGUCGCGUCAAAUCCGAUUAGGUCAACCGUUUCUCGCAAAACCAACACCGAAUAAUUAAUCCAUGUCGCUUCGCGAACCGAUUCAGGCCAUCAAUCAACUGUCUCUCUUCUUAAUUCCCCAUUUGCAACGGACGUGCCUCGAAAGCCGACGGUCGGCAUUCAACUCUCGAUCUCCCUCAGCGGUCUAUAAAACCAACUUCUGAUCGCGUCAUCUUAGGCCCAUUUCCAUCCUCUCUCAAACCCCUCUCCUAAUUUCACCUUAUAGCAAUAGUAGAGCCCGUUCCUAGCCAGUCCCUCUCCCUAUCCAACCCGUCCAUAAUUCACGUUAUGCAUCAAAAUAUAAUGGACGGAGCAAAACGUCGUCUUCUCCUCUAUAAAGGCACUGCUCUGCUGAAUUUGGCUCCGUCACCAUCUUGCUUUGCCAUAGUUGGUGCCACGACUCAGGUCGCCAUCCGUGUCGCCGGCAUCAUCAACUCAGGCUCCUGGCCUGUUCCUGAGCCUGGCGCUCUCCUCCGCCGAUGCAGUUGUUAAGGCUGCCAAAAUCUUACAAUCUCACCGAGAAAAGAAGCUUGGUAGCGACCAAUCUGCUUGCUGUGUGAUGAUUCCACAUGGUGCGGAACCCAAGAGCAUGAAGGCUACAACGAGCUGGUAAGUUUAGAGCUUCAGGGGGUCAGUAUCGCAAUCAUGCUGAUGUGCGUUCAGAGAGGCCAAGAAAUGUGACCAGCCCUAUUCCGAGACCAACAGAAAGGUGUUUCGCUUCAUUAUUGAGAGAAGCAAUACUUUUUCAUGCAUGCUGUGAACUCUGGUUCGAGAUUUAUGGAGCCCAGGAUCACCAAAUUUUGUCUACGCUUGCAUGGCUCUUUUCCCAUCUUUAAAUAUUUAUAGCAUAUACAAAAUUUGGCUUGUUUUUGUUGA